GGGGGAAAAAUUAAAAAUUUAAAAAUAAUAAAAAAAAUUUUAAUACGAAAAUGGGGGUUGGAGUAUUAAUAAUAAAAAAAAUUUAAAUUUUUAUAGUAAAUUAGUAUUGUAAAAGAAUUUUGAAAUAGUUGAAAAAUAAUUUAAAAUAAAGUAAAUUUAAUUUAUUGUAUCUUGUGUAUCAGAGUUUAUUAAAUAAAAUUAUUUAAAUAAGUAAAUCUCGAAUUUAAAAGAGAUAAUUAAUUAAAAAAGUUAAUGUAGUAUAGUUAUUUUUAAUAAUUAAUUUGCAAUGAAAUGUUAUUCGUUUUUAAAUAUAUCUAGUUUUUUUAGAAAUAAAUUUAAUUUAAAAUUUAAUUUUGAUAAUAAUUUUUUAAUUAAUUAUUAUUAAAUUAAAUUAAAUAUUAAAAGGGAUAAGCUUUUUAAUAAAAAUUUAUAAAAUAAAAAAUAUUAUUAAAAUUUUUAAAAUUUAAAUUGUUUAGAAAUUUUAAUUUUUUAUAAAAAAUUUUAAUAAAAAUAAGAUUUAAUAAAAUUUUAAAUUUUUAUAAAAAAAAAUUUUUUUUUAAUAUAAAAAAAUUAUUAUAAUGAUAAAAUUAGUAUAAAUAUAAUAUAUAUAUAUAUAUAUAUAUUUAUGUGUGUAUAUAUAAAAUUAAAUAAAAGGAAUUCGGCAAAAAUUUAUAUUCACUUGUUUAUCAAAAACAUGUCUUUUUGAAAAUAAUUUAAAGUCUAAUCUGCCCACUGAUAAAUAUUAAAGGGCUGCAGUAUAUUGACUGUACAAAGGUAGCAUAAUCAAUAGUCUUUUAAUUGAAGACUUGUAUGAAGGAUUUAAUGAAAUAUAAUCUGUCUCUUAUUUAUAAUUAGAAUUUAAUUUUUUAGUUAAAAAGCUAAAAUAGAUUUAAAAGACGAGAAGACCCUAUAGAGUUUUAUAAUUAAUUAAUUUUGGGUUAUAUAUAUAAUUUAAAAUUAAAAAUUAAUUAAUUAUUUUAUUGGGGUGAUAAAAAAAUUAAUUAAACUUUUUUUUAUUAAAGACAUAAAUAAGUGAAUAAAUGAUCCAUUAUUAAUGAUUAAAAGAAAAAAUUACCUUAGGGAUAACAGCGUAAUUUUUUUUUUAGUUCAAAUAAGAAAAAGAGAUUGCGACCUCGAUGUUGGAUUAAGAUAAUAUAUAAAUGCAAAAGUUUAAAAUUUUGAUCUGUUCGAUCAUUAAAAUCUUACAUGAUCUGAGUUCAAACCGGUGUAAGCCAGGUUGGUUUCUAUCUUUAGAAAAUUAAAAUAUUUUA
rnacentral:rRNA from 1 species